rnacentral:lncRNA from 1 species
UUUCUCUUCCUCUCAAAAAACCCUAACUAGCAUCCCAAUUAUUAUUAUUAUUUUUUUAAAUGAAGAAAAAAAGUCUAUUUGUAAAAAUUUGUCUAAGACAAGAAACAAAAUAUAUACCUAAUGCGAGUUUUUUUUAUUGUUAGUCAUAGAAUAUUGAAACCUUAAUCUCUAUUAAUUCUAGCUAACUCAUUGUAAGAGUAAGAACUUCUAGCCAAUAACAUAAUCACACGAG